rnacentral:rRNA from 1 species
AGCGCAGGCGGUGCGGCAAGUCUGAUGUGAAAGCCCGGGGCUCAACCUGUGGACUGCAUUGGAAACUGUCAUGCUUGAGUGCCGGAGGGGUAAGCGGAAUUCCUAGUGUAGCGGUGAAAUGCGUAGAUAUUAGGAGGAACACCAGUAGCGAAGGCGGCUUACUGGACGGUAACUGACGUUGAGGCUCGAAAGCGUGGGAGCAAACA